rnacentral:lncRNA from 8 species
CUGGCAGAGCGGCUGAAUCAGUGUGAGGGAAUGGCACAACUCAGUGACACAGCUGACGACAGGCCUGGACAGGACCCUGGCUGGCUACAGCAGCUGCGAUGCAGACAGCAGGACAUACGGGUGACCACACCACAAUGCAUCGUCAUUGUACCCGUCAUGUCUCUCUGUCACAUGUUUUCAUGUUCCUCUGUUUCUGUUGGAUAUGAUGAUUACAGUAUAAAACAUAUUUAUUGAGUACAAACAACCUUGUGUAGAGUAGGGAUUUGUUGUUGUUGAUUGAGUAAGGGUCAUAAAUGGGACUCACUAAAGCCUGGAUAUUAGGAUAGAUAUGGAUAUUAGCCUACAGUAUAACCCACUGGUACUGGUAGGUUAUCAGGUGAGUGAAAUUAUGUCAGUAGGCACUUAUGUCAAGGUUACUGAGGUGGUAAGUAUUUACUAUAGUCCAGAUGGCAAGACUAGUGUCUGGUUUAAACGUGUCUCUACCUGCACAAUGUUUGACCUUACAUAGACACUGAUAGCAUUGUAAUUACUACAUUAUGAUCCCUUUUUACCAAUCAAAUGAUAAAUGAAUAACAAUACCAUACUCGUUUUUCUCUCCUCCAAAACAUUCACUCCACAUUAAGAUGCUGUGGUUAAAACACAUGUAUUUGCUUAGAUGGGGAGCUGUGGUUGUAGUGAUACAUACCUGGGACCUACAGUCCCAGAUCAUUAUUUCAAUGAAUAUUUAGUUUAUUGGAUUUAUAUAGCACUUUUUCAGAUGCUCAAAGCAUUUACAUAGUAAGGGGGAACUUACCUCAUCCACCACCAAUGUGAAACACACCCCCAGUUUCUGCUUUGGUUUCCGUUUAGAAUCAGACACCGGUGACCUUUCUGUGAGGGGUGAUGCAUGUGCAGGCACAGCAGAUCAACGUCCCACCUCUGCUGCCAGUCAUGGCUUCUUACAAUCAGCCUGCAGUGCCCCUUGUGGCGGGAGGUCAGGACUACAGUUACCACAACACAGACACUGCCCAUGCUCAGGAUUGUCCUUCAGCCACGGAAGAGGCUGAUCAUUCUUCUGUCCCAGGCAUGGUGAGUCCUUGGGAGAGUUUUAUUGACUACCGAACAUACAUCACAUGUGAUACACAAACAUACCUCCCAUUGGCACAUACGAAUUAGCGUUGAAUUGAAUUUGACAUUGAAUUUAAUCCCUGUAAAGAUUUCCAGUUAUUUACUGAGCACCUGCUGUUUGUGUUAGGGGUGCUAUAUUUAAUGUGUAUACUCAUAGUAAGGUUAUGUUUAUUGUCAAGGUGUACAACAUUUUCAGCUAAGAGCUGAAUUACAUCUAAAUAAAUAAAUAAAUAAUCAAAUCAAUCAUGUGAAAACAUUAAUUGUCCCAUAUGAAUGUUGGGACGAUGCCGGUGGCAGGAUAUGGUCAUGGUUAUGGAGGGCAGCAGGCAUGCCAGCAGUGAGGGCACCAGGCCACCAUCACAGAGGGGGGAAAGGCCACAGAGACAGACAAAAUCCAACUAAAACAGGUGGGUAGAGCCUGAAUCCUGUCUUCAUGUCACAGCAUCAAAUAGGAACCAGGGGUUUGUUUUAAUGAGCCCCUCUCUAUCUAUCUCUCUAUCUAUCUCUCUCUCUAUCUGUCUCUGUCUGUCCUUCUGUGUGUGUGUCUCUGAUCAGAGCAACAAGUCAGGGUGGUUUAGCAGCUGGUUCAAACCCGAGCCCAAAGAGCAGCAAAGUGAGACGUCUCACUAUGCGGACUCAGCUGACCCUGUUCCCACUACGUUAAGGGUCAAGCAUACCUACUUUUAACUCUUACCCAGCCAUUAGACAGAGGACAUAACAGCAUGCGCUGCAGCCUGGAUGUCAAGUCAGUGAUCUCAAGUUUAGGUUUUGUAGUGUACCGUCCAACAAAUCAUGUCGAUGGAUAUAACAACAUUUUGUUAUAUCUUAUAAACUUAGUGAAAUAUAAAAACGUUAAUGAAAAGGAUUCUUAAAAUGAAGCGCUAAGGCAACCAUUUUUGGAUAUUAUUAUUAUUAGGAUAUUCAGAGUGUUUGACCUCCUUGUACUUCUCACAAGACCCAGCGGAGGUAUUUGCUGUUGGUCAACCAACUCUUCCCAAUUAUUUGGCAGCGUUAGUAACACCUUCUGCAUUUAAAUACUGCUUCCACUGAGUGAAUUGUAUCAUGCAAGUUAGAUUAAAACUGUGAUUUAUAAGUUACUCUAAAUAAGCUAAGUUAAGUCAGAAGUAAUUAAAAUGAUUUUAUUGUUUUUCUAUAUUCAAUGAUACCAGUAUUUCAAUAUGUUUGAGACUGACUAGCUGAUGAAUUGUUGUACGUUUAACAUACUUUUUAUCAAAAGUAUAGCCUACCAAUUUCUGUCAAAGUAAAGCUUUUCAGAAAAACCCUAAAUACAUGAUUACAUAAUCAGAGACAGGAGUAGCUUUCCUUGUGUCAUAGAAGGUAGACUCUCAAAACUCACCACGAGGAAGCUAUGAACAAUCCUAAUCAUAUCAGUCUAUGUAUGUAUGCCCCUUUAACUGGAGGUUCUGAGACAUAAGCAAACGUAACACAUCCUAGUGUCAUAAAAACAAAUCUGUGUCGUCUGGUUGACUUUCCGAGUGAUACCUUCUUAGUAUGCUCAGUGCCCCUCGGUAUGUAUUCGUCGGUUACCUCGUUGUGCAGUAGUGGGUCACUGGGUCUUGUGCAAUUAUGUAACGCUAGGGUUGCAAAGAGAGUGAAUUUUACUGGUAACUGUCUAACUUUACCAGUAAACUUUUGGAAUUUUGGAAACUCUUUAAUGUAAUUUAUAAAAUGUCAAAUAUAUAAAAUCACAAAUGAAGACUAUUUAAUAUAAAAAAAUUGAAUAACAAAGAUGUAAAACAAUCUCCUAAAUACAGCCCUUCAACUUAGUGAAUAACGUUGCCGUUAAAUAUGGUUUUCAGCAUGAAAUAUAUUUUAUAUUUUUUUACACGCUUUUAUUUAUUUUGAUCUGUCAAUAUGCGUUUGUUGUAAAUGUUUUGGCAACAAACUGGAGAAGUUGUGAAAAAAAGUACAUAGUUGGAAGAGUUGCAGUUAAUUGAAAAUAUUCUUUUCAUAAAUUACGCGAUUUUGUCUUGAAUCGUAGUAUAUCUACUAGAAACUUGUGGACAAUAUGGACAUAGAUAUAACGAUUAAGAAACAUUAAUGAAUAUUUUAUAUGAAUACAUUUUUUAAAACGUUAUUUAAGUAUAAAGUACUAAAGUUACCAUAGAUGACCUGUUAAUUACCAAAAAUGUCAGUGAAUUUGUGAAAUUACCCAUAGUUUUCGCCUAAAAUGACAUACCCAACUGCCUGUAGCUCAGGACAGGAAGCAAGGAUAUGAAUAUUAUUGAUACCAUUUGAACAGAAACACUUUGAAGUUUGUGGAAUGUGAAAUUAAUGUAGGAGAAUAUAACACAUUAGAUCUGGUAAAAGAUAAUUUAAAAAAAAACAAUAAAUGUAAAAAAAUAAAAUUGUUUGUAAUAUCAUCUUUGAAAUGCAAGAGAAAGGCCAUAAUGUAUUAUUCCAGCCCAGGUGAAAUUUAGAUUUUGGCCACCAGAUGGAGCAGUGUCUGUGCAAAGUUUUAGACUGAUACAAUGAACCAUUGCAUUUCUGUUAAAAAUGUUACAUCAAGACUGCCCAAAUGUGCCUAAUUGGUUAAUUAAUAAAGUUCAUAACUGUGCACUCUCCUCAAACAAUAGCCUGGUAUUCUUUCACUGUAAUAUCUACUGUAAAUUGGACAGUGCAGUUAGAUUAACAAGAAUUUAAGCUUUCUGCCAAUAACAGAUAUGUCUAUGUCCUGGGAAAAUGUCUUGUUACUUACAACCUCAUGCUAAUCGCAUUAGUCUACAUUAGCUCCACCGUCCCGUGGGUGGGACACUGCUCUGUAGAGAUCAUUAAGAGGUUAACCUGUUAGGGCUAGGGGGCAGUAUUGACACGGCCGGAUAAAAAACGUACCCGAUUUAAUCUGGUUACUACUCCUGCCCAGUAACUAGAAUAUGCAUAUAAUUAUUGGCUUUGGAUAGAAAACACCCUAAAGUUUCUAAAACUGUUUGAAUGGUGUCUGUGAGUAUAACAGAACUCAAAUGGCAGGCCAAAACCUGAGAAGAUUCCAUGCAGGAAGUGGCCUGUCUGACAAGUUGUGUUUCAUCUUGGCUCUUUUUAUUGAAGACUGAGGAUCUUUGCUCUAACAUGACACUUCCUACGGCUCCCAUAGGCUCUCAGAGCCCGGGAAAAAGCUGAACGAUA